GUCUCCUCAUGUGGUCAAGAAUGUCAUCUUGACUUGUAAAUUCCUUUUAUAAUGUACAAACAUCUUUCCGGCUCCAUUCCAGGGAGAACAAUGGCUUGACAGCCCAACCAGAAAUAGAACCAGUGCCCCAUUACCCAUGAAGCACAUUCAUGAUAAUGAUGGACACCAUUACUCGCCUCUCUUCUUUGUCAUCUGUGCCGUUCCCAACACUUCUGUACUGUACGGAGGGACUAGCAGCAUCUCUACAUCCAACAUCUCACUGGAUGUGAACUUCUCGUCGUCAAUUACAUGAAGCACAAACAGCAGAUCAUGCAGUGAAAGUCACACCAGAGAGUUGUUAUAUUUGUUGUUUUUCCCCCCCCGUCCAGAUUAUUCAGUAUGGGAGCAUAUAAUUGGUUUUCGGUGAUAUUAAAUUCGUAGCUAAAGAGAGCUGCAUCAAAAGCAGAAAGCACAGCAAAACAAUUUUAAGCCUAAUUUGGUAGGAGACAUGACUGGCCCAGUGGCAGCGCGCAACACAGCCAAUUACGAUAAGGAUUAAGCGCACGCAAUCAAAAGAUGGAACAAGAUAAUGUGCAGAGAUACAUUUGGAACACAAGCAAUUAAUUGAAGAAGCAUGACACCCUGGCUGCUAAAGAUGAAGGAGGAGAUGAGGUUUUAACACUUCAUCAUUAUUAAUGACAAAGACAACUGAUUUGUCCCCAUCUCACAGCAAAAAAAGGCUGCCGUAUGUUUUGGAGAAGCCAGACUGUGCUGUCAGGAAGUCUUCGCUAGGCUGCAUGGCGUCCUGUGGCCGCUGUCUGUCUAUUACUCAUGUGCCUAGUGAACCCAGGAGGCAGAAAAUGGCCGAGUUCACGAGGGAACAAAGGUGUUUCAACAAGUUCAAGAAGACAAAGGUCACUGGGACUGAAGUUCUGAAUGUUUGGCUAUGUCUGUCUCCCAUGGCAAGAGAGGGUUUUGGAGGUAAUCUUAGUCUAGACUGCGUGUGCUCGUUGCAGCAGGAGGGAGUCAUACCAACUCAUUACAGACCCACAACAGACCCUACUGACACUGGUAACCUUCCACCCCUCAUAAGGUCAAAAUAGCUCCUGCCAAUGAGGAGAACUGUGGAACUAAGCAACCAGAAACAAUGUGAUGUUUUGUCUUAGUUUAUGUUACUCUCAUAAGGAGGCUGGUCAGCCUCAGUGGAGGUGAACACCCAUUUAAUGCAGUUCCCGGACUUUAUCUACCAAUAAGGAUGGACAUUACAUGGCCAAGAUCACUAGGAGGGAGUCAGUAGACUCUGGGAG
rnacentral:lncRNA from 13 species